rnacentral:lncRNA from 10 species
CACGGCAAAGGGAAUUGCCCCUCAGGAGCAGAGGGUUAUGUCAGAGGGGAGGCGCGAACCAGGUCGCAUAGCACAUUCUAGGAUGUAAUGAGUGUGGAUUCUAUGUUGCCAUGGGAAGCCAGCAUCCUUGCACGAGCUUGCUUGUUUUUCGAGGGAACUGGCUGAAAACCCAGUAGAUUUUGGUGGCUGUUCUUGACUAAGAAGAGUGUGGAACAAAGUCACAGAGCCACGGCCCCAGACAAGACCUGGAUGAAGCGCUACAGCCUGGUAGUGCCAAGACUGGGAGGGAAACAGAAGAGCACUAUGAGACAGAAUCCAGAAGCAAGGAGAGGAAGGAAAGGCCUUGGACCCCCUAAGGAGAAGGAGGGUAAACACACAGGAGCAGGAUUGCUGGGUCAUAUGGUUCUAUAGUUUCCUUAGAGCAACGAGGUGGAGUGUGUUUCUUUCAUC